rnacentral:tRNA from 1 species
GGGGAUGUGGUGUAGACUGGUUAACAUAUUGCCCUGUCAAGGCAAAGAUCGCGGGUUCAAAUCCCGUCGUCCCCG